ACGCAGCUAACUGCGAUAAGCAAUGCGAAUUGCAGAAUCCGCGAGUCAUCAGAUUUUCGAACGCAGCCGGCGCUACGAGUCAAAUACUUGUAGCAAGUUUGCUUCAGUCUUAUUGAUUAUUACACAUCAAAAUGUGAUUGAACCUUCGGGUUCUAUCAUUGAACGUGAAUACGACAUAUUUCAAUCCACCGAAGCAGUCACAGUCUCUGACGGUGAUUUCGAUGGCUCUUGAGCUAUGGCCAGUAUAGAGACAAACAGUCUUUCACAAUAAUCUUAAGC
rnacentral:misc_RNA from 1 species